AAUCACUCGUGAUUGGUUGGCAGAUCUGUCGCUAUUGGUCACCCGCCUCAUUGUAUUUAUAUAUAUAUUUAUAAAUUCAUAUUAUGCUGUAUAUUCAUUUCAUUGUUAUCCUAUGUAGGCUACUACACUAUUAUUAGGAUACUCUCCAGGACAUGAAUGAAUUUAUAGAGAAAAUGAACAUUUGCCAGGAACAUGUUUAUGCAAAGAAAGAGCUUUAUUAACAAUAUACAAACAACAACUAUAUACAAAGUGAGGAGCUGCCCACACUUGGGUAAAGGCGGCGUAAAAAAAUACAGCUCAGUAAACUGUCCGUUUGCCUCCUCGGGGUUGUAGACUGUCACUGGCGACGUGUUUUCCGAGGCAGGUCUGUUGUGCAGGCGCCUAGUGUGUGCGACUCAGAAAUGGCGGCGACCGUACAAUCCACCCCGAGACCCCGCCAACAACGCCAUCCUCUCUACGGUGGCGGAUUUCCAGAGUUCCACCUCGUCAUCAGCCAGCACACUUUGUCUCGAUUCCAGCAGCUGUAAAAACAACAGAAUGAAUCAGUACUGUGCGUUGCGUAUGGACACAACACAUCUAUCAAUGCACCUGAAAAAGUCAGCAAAUAAACUCUUACCCUCUUUCUUCUCGCUCGACUCCGUGCUGAAUUCUUCGCAGCUUCCGCCCGCAAUGAGUGUUCCGGCUGGGAAAACCUGAAGCUCCUGCGUACCGUCUCAAAAUACGUCUUACAGGCGGCUGGAAAACAAUUAAAUGAGUGUGGUAUGAAUAACAAAAAUCAAACGCAAGUCACAGUAACAUUUAACAAGGAAGGAGAAACAGUAAACAGUGUCACUUACACACAAGGACGUCGUCUAAAUCUGGACUUUUCCCGGAGCAAAUACCAGGUCACCGUCUCAUUUUGAGGCGAGAUUAGUCUGUGAAAACAAAAUGUACAGUUAUGAUCGGUAUCCAUCCUAUGGUAUCUAUACGUAUAUAUUCCCUUAUACCGCAGAAUGAAAGCAUCUUCUUUAAAUCUUACCCUUGCUCCGGUUCGUAGCACCUGUAAUUCGUCUCGGAGUUGUGAAGACGGCGCACCGCUUCCUGUAAACGACACGGCAAAGAAAAUACACUCUAAUAAAGCUGUUUCUG
ensembl:lncRNA